rnacentral:lncRNA from 1 species
UGGGAAGGCAGUGCCCGGGGCCAGGUGGGCUGGUUUCCUGCGGAGUGCGUGGAGGAGAUUCCUGCCAAGCCCAGCGAGGAGAGGACGCACACAAGAGCUGACCGCUCGGACAGGAGGAAACUCUUCCGACACUACACUGUGGGGUCCUACGAUAGCUUUGAUACCACCAGGUAAGGUUACUCAGAUGCCUUUAUUAAAACAUGCACACGCAUACACACACAAGCACACAGGGUGAUUAGCUAAGUGGAAGUUUAUGUGAAGUGGUAGCUUGUCUCAGAGCAGUGUUUUGAGGUUUGUUUUUGCUCUAGUUUUCAGUUGUUAUCAUUACAUUUUUCUCUUCUUCUUCUCUCUCAUUGUCUUAUCCACUCCCAGUCACAGGCCUACUUUCCAAUGUGUUGGAUAUGACCACUAGGCAAUUUUAGACCACUAAUCACAGCAUGAAGUGUGAUAUAGGCAUAUCUCCCAUAAGGGGCCGUUUGAAAAUUACUGUGGGGGACCAAGAUAGGAGAGGAAGGGGUGCAGAUUUUUUCUUUGCUUUGGGGAGGGUUCCUUAGUUUUUUAUUGGACACACAGUGGAGGGUAUAGUGCAUUUCCUCCCUAUUUACAUUCACUGUUUUGGCAGGUUUUCCUAUAUUCCAUCCUAGCCAACUUUCCCAUCUAAUUAGAUAUGCCUCCCCUAUGGAACCUGUGGUUCGACCAAUAAAAAAUAUUAUAUGGGACACCUGUACUGCCACUGACAGGCCGUGCACUGCAAGACACAGGUUCGUUGUGUGA